rnacentral:rRNA from 1 species
UACGUAGGGGGCAAGCGUUGUCCGGAUUUACUGGGCGUAAAGAGCGUGUAGGCGGCCGCACAGGUCCGUUGUGAAAACUGGAGGCUUAACCUCCAGACGUCGACAGAAACCGUCUGGCUAGAGUCCGGAAGAGGAGAGUGGAAUUCCUGGUGUAGCGGUGAAAUGCGCAGAUAUCAGGAAGAACACCCGUGGCUAAGGCGGCUCUCUAGUACGGUACUGACGCUGAGACGCGAAAGCGUGGGGAGCGAACAGG